CCCCGACCCCGAGUUUAGCCUCCGCUUCUUCUGAUUUCCGUCUGCCUGAUCCCCUGCCUUUUUCCCUCUUGCUCCAGGGAGUCUUACAGAUACCAAAGAGGGCAAGGAUCACAGAGUCCCAGACACUGACAGUCUGAGGUGAACCUCCUGAAUCUACAGGAAGGGGGAGUCGAGAUCCGUAGAAGGGAGUUGACCAGCUACAGACAUCCCAC